rnacentral:rRNA from 1 species
AUGAGACUCACAUAUGGAAGGAGCAUGGCGCUACCACUGGUUCCACCAGCAAGACUUUGUGAACUUUAUCUUUCUUCGUGCAGUAUUACAGAUGGAGCUUUAGCUCUUUGCCUUAAUGGCCUGGCUUCACUGAAAAAGUUAUGCUUAGAAGGGAUUAUGACUCUAACUACACUUCCUUCAGAAGAGGUCCUCCAACAUUUGACAGAACUUGACUACUUGUCCAUCCAUAAUUGCUGGUGUCUCUGGUCAUUAGGGGGCUUACGAGCUGCUGUCUCUCUUUCAUUUGUUAGAUUGAUUUCGUGCCCUUCUCUAGAGUUGGCACGUGGAGCAGAAUUUUUGCCAUUAUCCCUUAAGGUGCUCAUUAUAGAAAAUUGUGUGCUUGCAGCUGACUUCCUCUGUACUGAGUGGCCACACAUUGAUAAAAUUAGCAUAACCAAUUGUAGAAGCACCGCAUGCUUGUCUGUUGGUAGUCUCACCUCUGUUAAAUUAUUCUCACUUUAUCACUUGCCAGAUUUAUGUUCUCUCGAAGGAUUGUCUUCGCUGCAACUGUACAACCUACAUUUGGUUGAUGUUCCAAAACUCAUCCCUGAGUGUAUCUCACAGUUUCGAGUCCAGAGAUCACUCUAUAUUAGCAGUCCCGUGAUACUCAACAACAUGCUCUCAGCUGAAGGUUUCACAGUUCCAACAUUUCUCUGUCUUGCUAGAUGGGAGCAACCAUUCAUUUCAUUUGAAGAAUUCACAAACUGUACAUCUGUUCAGAGGCUGAGAUUCAGUGUUUGUGAAAUGACUUCCCUGCCAGAAAAUCUGAAGUGCUUCCCCAAUCUGAAGAUGCUCGACAUUGUUAGCUGCCCCAAUAUAUCAUCUUUACCAGAUCUGCCAACCUCCCUCCAGCAGAUAAGUGUAUGGGGGCGUUGUGAACGCUUGAAGGAGAGUUGCCGAGCACCUGAUGGAGAAAGUUGGCCAAAGAUUGCACAUAUUCGCAGGAAGUACUUUUUAUAA